AGUGAACGCUGGCGGUAGGCCUAACACAUGCAAGUCGAACGGCAGCACAGUAAGGGCUUGCUCUUACGGGUGGCGAGUGGCGGACGGGUGAGGAAUACAUCGGAAUCUACUUUUUCGUGGGGGAUAACGUAGGGAAACUUACGCUAAUACCGCAUACGACCUACGGGUGAAAGCAGGGGAUCUUCGGACCUUGCGCGAUUGAAUGAGCCGAUGUCGGAUUAGCUAGUUGGCGGGGUAAAGGCCUACCAAGGCGACGAUCCGUAGCUGGUCUGAGAGGAUGAUCAGCCACACUGGAACUGAGACACGGUCCAGACUCCUACGGGAGGCAGCAGUGGGGAAUAUUGGACAAUGGGCGCAAGCCUGAUCCAGCCAUACCGCGUGGGUGAAGAAGGCCUUCGGGUUGUAAAGCCCUUUUGUUGGGAAAGAAAAGCAGCAGGUUAAUACCCCGCUGUUCUGACGGUACCCAAAGAAUAAGCACCGGCUAACUUCGUG
rnacentral:rRNA from 1 species